UGAGGGGUACUGCCUGCCCAGUGAGUUUUUCAACGGCCGCGGUACCCUGACCGUGCAAAGGUAGCAUAAUCCCCAGUCUCCUAAAUAGAGACCAGUAUCAACGGCAAGACGAGGGUCUAACUGUCUCCCUACUUUACCUUAAAACUUCUUUAGUUGUGCAAAAGCAACCAUUAAAGCGUAAGACGAGAAGACCCUAUCGAGCUUUAGGCUAAAAGAUAUUAACCCACCAAAGAAACCUUGCUGAAAAACACAAACUUCUCCCCCUCUUAUAUCUCCCCCCUUUGGUUGGGGCAACCACGGAAAAAACCCACCUUCCGCAAUUAAAACACCCAGAUUCCAAAUCUAAGUUUAUACAAUACCCUGAUCCAAAAUUCUUUGAUCCACGAACCAAGUUACCGUAGGGAUAACAGCGUAAUCCCUUCCAAGAGUCCACAUUGCCGAAGGGGUUUGCGACCUCGAUGUUGGAUCGGGUCAUCCUAACGGUGCAGCCGCUGUUAAGGGUUGGUCUGUUC
rnacentral:rRNA from 1 species